GAUGAACGCUGGCGGCGUGCCUAAUACAUGCAAGUCGAGCGAACAGAUGAGGAGCUUGCUCCUCUGACGUUAGCGGCGGACGGGUGAGUAACACGUGGAUAACCUACCUAUAAGACUGGGAUAACUUCGGGAAACCGGAGCUAAUACCGGAUAAUAUAUUGAACCGCAUGGUUCAAUAGUGAAAGACGGUUUUGCUGUCACUUAUAGAUGGAUCCGCGCCUCAUUAGCUAGUUGGUAAGGUAACGGCUUACCAAGGCAACGAUGCGUAGCCGACCUGAGAGGGGGAUCGGCCACACUGGAACUGAGACACGGUCCAGACUCCUACGGGAGGCAGCAGUAGGGAAUCUUCCGCAAUGGGCGAAAGCCUGACGGAGCAACGCCGCGUGAGUGAUGAAGGUCUUCGGAUCGUAAAACUCUGUUAUUAGGGAAGAACAAAUGUGUAAGUAACUAUGCACGUCUUGACGGUACCUAAUCAGAAAGCCACGGCUAACUACGUG
rnacentral:rRNA from 1 species